UGGGGAAUAUUUGCGCAUUGGGGGGAACCCUGACGCAGCCAUGCCGCGUGAAUGAAGAAGGCCUUCGGGUUGUAAAGUUCUUUCGGUAUUGAGGAAGGUUGAUGUGUUAAUAGCACAUCAAAUUGACGUUAAAUACAGAAGAAGCACCGGCUAACUCCGUGCCAGCAGCCGCGGUAAUACGGAGGGUGCGAGCGUUAAUCGGAAUAACUGGGCGUAAAGGGCACGCAGGCGGUUAUUUAAGUGAGGUGUGAAAGCCCCGGGCUUAACCUGGGAAUUGCAUUUCAGACUGGGUAACUAGAGUACUUUAGGGAGGGGUAGAAUUCCACGUGUAGCGGUGAAAUGCGUAGAGAUGUGGAGGAAUACCGAAGGCGAAGGCAGCCCCUUGGGAAUGUACUGACGCUCAUGUGCGAAAGCGUGGGGAGCAAACAGGAUUAGAUACCCUGGUAGUCCACGCUGUAAACGCUGUCGAUUUGGGGGUUGGGGUUUAACUCUGGCGCCCGUAGCUAACGUGAUAAAUCGACCGCCUGGGGAGUACGGCCGGCAAGGUUA
rnacentral:rRNA from 1 species